AAAAAAAAAAAAAAUGUCCAGAAUAGGCAAAUCUGUAGUAGGCAGCAAAUUAGCAGUCACCUAGGGAUAUGGGGAUAUGGGCACACAUGGAGAAAUGGCAAGUGGCUGUUAAUGGGCAUGGGGUUUCUUUUUGGGUGAUGAAAGUGUUCUAAAAUCGAUUAUGGUGAUCCUUAAUUCUGUGAGCUUGCUAAAAACCAUUGAAUUACAUAUUUUAAAUUGUGAGUUAUGUGGUACAUGGACUAUCUCAUUAAAGCUGCUACUUAAAAAAUGGGCUGAGCCCUUUCCCCUGGCUGGCAGCUCGCAGGCCGGGCCGCAUGAUGCCUGGAGUUACUGUAAAAGACGUGAACCAGCAGGAGUUCGUCAGAGCUCUGGCAGCCUUCCUCAAAAAGUCUGGGAAGCUGAAAGUCCCCCAAUGGGUGGACACUGUCAAGCUGGCCAAGCACAAAGAGCUUGCUCCCUACGAUGAGAACUGGUUCUACACGUGAGCUGCUUCCACGGCGUGGCACCUGUACCUCCGGGGUGGCGCUGGGGUUGGCUCCAUGACCAAGAUCUAUGGGGGACGUCAGAGAAAUGGCGUCAUGCCUGGCCACUUUAGCCGAGGCUCCAAAAGUGUGGCCCACCGGGUCCUCCAAGCCCUGGAGGGGCUAAAAAUGGUGGAAAAAGACCAAGAUGGGGGCUGCAAACUGACACCUCAGGGACAGAGAGAUCUGGACAGAAUCACCGGACAGGUGGCAGUUGCCAACAAGAAGCAUUAGAACAAACCAUGCUGGGUUAAUAAAUUGCCUCAUUCGU